AUAACAAAACUGCUUUAUUUACUUUUUUUCAUUUCAAUCACAUUAUACAUAACUACACACAAAUACACUUUUUACUCAAACUUUAAUAAGAUUUUUCUAGAAGAGAUCUUAGGUUGAAAAAAUAGAGAUUCUAUAAUAGAAAUUUUAUAAUCUAUG